ACUCCUACGGGAGGCAGCAGUAAGGAAUAUUGGUCGAAUGGAGGCAACUCUGAACCAGCCAUGCCGCGUGCAGGAUGACUGCCCUAUGGGUUGUAAACUGCUUUUCUACAGGAAGAAACGCUAUGAUUCAUCAUAGUUGACGGUAUUGUAGGAAUAAGCACCGGCUAACUCCGUGCCAGCAGCCGCGGUAAAUACGGAGGGUGCAAGCGUUAUCCGGAUUUAUUGGGUUUAAAGGG
rnacentral:rRNA from 1 species